AGCUUAGAAGUUAUAUUUGACUUUGGUCUUAGUAAUGUCUAUAUAGACCAUAUGGGAGCAGUAGAUGGCUCAUGAUCUCAGAUCCUUUGUAUCUGCCCCUGGGUUAAGGUAGGCCAUCUUGGAUU